UCUCCCCUUGGUGCGCCACUUUUUUUGGCUAGUUGCUCUUCACAGUUCCUGUCUUUUGACCUGCUUUUAUGGUUAGUGCUGCCUUGCUGUAUUAUUAAAGUGUGUUGCUGGCUGUAAACUUUGUUCUUCCUGCGGCUGCGUUGUGUUUUUUAUAGAAGAACAGAUUGCUGUUUGGCUCAGCCUUAUUUUAUCCUUGGUGUUGCUGCAUUAGUUCUCCUAUUGUUGUUUGUUAGGGCUUUGCAUGUUGCCUCAUGUUGGGGAGAGAGACGGAAAUUAAUGAAGCUGUUGUUCCAGAGGAAAUUGAAAGCUCAUCCUUCAUUCGAUGUAGAUACUUGUGGACUUAAAGAAAGGGGGUGCAGUCAUCAACCCCAACAAUACUGUCCAAGUUCAAGAGUUGUUUUCGCAAGUUUAAGAGGGGCUUUCACAAAUGCAACUACUGCUAAUGAGGCAGUAAAGCUCUGGUCUUGGCCCUCUACCACACAGGCUAGACACUCCGUAGUGAUUAUUCCUGACCCCGCAUCACAAGCACCAUCGAUAUUUUUCACUGAUUCCUCUGGUAGGAGCAAAGUGCAUUUAUUUAUGGGUUUCCUCAAGUCUUCUUCCGGCUUUGAUUUAACCACUGAGUCUUCUACUUCCGAAAAACUUUGCGGCUCCAGUUGUGGCUUGUGUUAUGACGGGCAUUGAAUACACUUUCAGAAUGGCCUUCUCUGUUUGCCCCUGAAUUUCCUGUGAUGAUAUUUAACUGUCAAGGCCAUUGGUUAAACCUGGUCACCUCACCUGUGAUUUAAGUAGUCCUGAAUAGCCUAGAAAGCUAUUUUAGCUGUUUUAGUUAAUUUUGAAUAUUUUAUCGUUGCUCCAACAAGCUACCAAAGUACAGUUCUGUUUCAUUUUUGGUACACUAUUGUAGGGCGAGCCCAAGAUAAUUUUUCCUAAUAACCAUUUUGCAUAAGUUAAUUUAUCCAUCAAUUUAUACAAGUUUAUUCACGUUACGUACUUGAUCACUUCUUAUGGACCCAUUUCAGGAUAAUUCUAAUCUCAUUCAUUAAAGAUAAUGACGUUUUUAAUGCAGAUGACAUUGGUCAGCCAGAUAGGCAAUGAAAAUCAUGCAGAGGAAGAAAAAUGAAUCGAAUUUAACUGUCUCAAGGUUUGGUAUUUUGGGAACAACUUUGAGUCUUUUCUUCUUGCUGCGGUAGUGCUUGACAGAAAGGCAUUGGGGGACUUGGGACCAGAGCAUGCUUCGACCUGUUAUUAUGUCUAAACCUAAAGGCAAGAAAAAACAUUUUUGAUGAGCA